rnacentral:rRNA from 1 species
GUGGGGAAUUUUGGACAAUGGGCGCAAGCCUGAUCCAGCAAUGCCGCGUGCAGGAAGAAGGCCUUCGGGUUGUAAACUGCUUUUGUACGGAACGAAACGGCUCUGGUUAAUACCCGGGGCUAAUGACGGUACCGUAAGAAUAAGCACCGGCUAACUACGUGCCAGCAGCCGCGGUAAUACGUAGGGUGCAAGCGUUAAUCGGAAUUACUGGGCGUAAAGCGUGCGCAGGCGGUCGUGUAAGACAGGCGUGAAAUCCCCGGGCUCAACCUGGGAAUUGCGCUUGUGACUGCACGGCUGGAGUGCGGCAGAGGGGGAAGGAAUUCCGCGUGUAGCAGUGAAAUGCGUAGAUAUGCGGAGGAACACCGAUGGCGAAGGCAAUCCCCUGGGCCUGCACUGACGCUCAUGCACGAAAGCGUGGGGAGCAAACAGGAUUAGAAAACCUGGUAGUCC